AUUGAACGCUGGCGGCAGGCCUAACACAUGCAAGUCGAGCGGUAACACAGGGAGCUUGCUCCUGGGUGACGAGCGGCGGACGGGUGAGUAAUGUCUGGGAAACUGCCUGAUGGAGGGGGAUAACUACUGGAAACGGUAGCUAAUACCGCAUAACGUCGCAAGACCAAAGAGGGGGACCUUCGGGCCUCUUGCCAUCAGAUGUGCCCAGAUGGGAUUAGCUAGUAGGUGGGGUAACGGCUCACCUAGGCGACGAUCCCUAGCUGGUCUGAGAGGAUGACCAGCCACACUGGAACUGAGACACGGUCCAGACUCCGACGGGAGGCAGCAGUGGGGAAUAUUGCACAAUGGGCGCAAGCCUGAUGCAGCCAUGCCGCGUGUAUGAAGAAGGCCUUCGGGUUGUAAAGUACUUUCAGCGGGGAGGAAGGCGAUAAGGUUAAUAACCUUGUCGAUUGACGUUACCCGCAGAAGAAGCACCGGCUAACUCCGUGCCAGCAGCCGCAGUAA
rnacentral:rRNA from 1 species